rnacentral:rRNA from 1 species
AAUGGCUCAUUAAAUCAGUUAUCGUUUAUUUGAUAGUACCUUACUACUUGGAUACCCGUGGUAAUUCUAGAGCUAAUACAUGCAAAAAACCCCAACUUCGGGAGGGGUGUAUUUAUUAGAUAAAAAACCAAUGCCCUUCGGGGCUCCUUGGUGAUUCAUAAUAACUUAACGGAUCGCAUGGCCUUGCGCCGGCGACGGUUCAUUCAAAUUUCUGCCCUAUCAACUUUCGAUGGUAAGGUAUUGGCUUACCAUGGUUUCAACGGGUAACGGAUUUUUAGGGAAAGAUCCCGGAGAGGGAGCCUGAGAAACGGCUACCACAUCCAAGGAAGGCAGCAGGCGCGCAAAUUACCCAAUCCCGACACGGGGAGGUAGUGACAAUAAAUACUGAUACAGGGCUCUUUUGGGUCUUGUAAUCGGAAUGAGUACAAUUUAAAUACCUUAACGAGGAACAAUUGGAGGGCAAGUCUGGUGCCAGCAGCCGCGGUAAUUCCAGCUCCAAUAGCGUAUAUUAAAGUUGUUGCAGUUAAAAAGCUCGUAGUUGAACCUUGGGCCUGGCUGGCCGGUCCGCCUCACCGCGUGUACUGGUCCGGCCGGGCCUUUCCUUCUGGAGAACCGCAUGCCCUUCACUGGGUGUGUCGGGGAACCAGGACUUUUACUUUGAGAAAAUUAGAGUGUUCAAAGCAGGCCUUUGCUCGAAUACGUUAGCAUGGAAUAAUAGAAUAGGACGUGCGGUCCUAUUUUGUUGGUUUCUAGAACCGCCGUAAUGAUUAAUAGGGAUAGUCGGGGGCGUCAGUAUUCAAUUGUCAGAGGUGAAAUUCUUGGAUCUAUUGAAGACUAACUACUGCGAAAGCAUUCGCCAAGGAUGUUUUCAUUAAUCAGUGAACGAAAGUUAGGGGAUCGAAGACGAUCAGAUACCGUCGUAGUCUUAACCGUAAACUAUGCCGACUAGGGAUCGGGCGAUGUUUCUAUAUUGACUCGCUCGGCACCU